rnacentral:misc_RNA from 1 species
UCGUCAUAGCGGCCAACUGGCUGACCAUCACCCAUGAGCCCAAAAUACAUUGCAGGUCCAAUCAAUUCACGGUUAAAUGCCAGGUUCAUGCCACACAUUGGGAACAAAGUUCCUUUGGGUACUGUCAAAACAGCAUCAACAUACCUUGUAUUUCUCUCAAGAGGCUUCACAAGCUGGGUGGGAGCAUCAUAAUCAGGAAUGUUAAGCCAGAGGCCAUGAGAAACGGCAGUGGGAACACCCUCUCGGAGACUGAAAGGAUAUCCACGAACAAAGUCAGCACCUUCUCUGUAUGGAUCAUAAAGAGUAUUGAAGAAAAGUGGAGUUGAUGGACUCAGAAGGUUUUUGAUGUGCUG